GGCCGUCCGAGUUGUAGUCUGGAGAAGUGUUUUCCGCGCUGGACCGUGUACAAGUCUCUUGGAACAGAGCGUCAUAGAGGGUGAGAAUCCCGUCUUUGACACGGACUACCAGUGCUUUGUGAUGCGCUCUCGAAGAGUCGAGUUGUUUGGGAAUGCAGCUCAAAAUGGGUGGUAAAUUCCAUCUAAAGCUAAAUAUUGGCGAGAGACCGAUAGCGAACAAGUACCGUGAGGGAAAGAUGAAAAGCACUUUGGAAAGAGAGUUAAACAGUACGUGAAAUUGUUGAAAGGGAAACGCUUGAAGUCAGUCGCGUCUUCCGGAACUCAGCCUUGCUUCUGCUUGGUGUACUUUCUGGAUGACGGGCCAACAUCAAUUUUGACCGUCGGAAAAAGGCUUCGGGAAUGUGGCACCUCCGGGUGUGUUAUAGCCCCUGGUCGUAUACAGCGGUUGGGAUCGAGGAACGCAGCACGCCGCAAGGCCGGGGUUCGUCCACGUUCGUGCUUAGGAUGCUGGCAUAAUGGCUUUAAA
rnacentral:rRNA from 1 species